rnacentral:rRNA from 1 species
GACAGAGGGUGCAAACGUUGUUCGGAUUUACUGGGCGUAAAGCGCGUGCAGGCGGCUUGGCCAGUCGGAUGUGAAAGCCCACGGCUCAACCGUGGAAGCGCAUCCGAAACUGCUUCGCUCGAGUCUCGGAGAGGAAGGUGGAAUGCUUGGUGUAGAGGUGAAAUUCGUAGAUAUCAAGCAGAACACCUGCGGCGAAGGCGGCCUUCUGGACGAUGACUGACGCUGAGACGCGAAAGCGUGGGGAGCAAACAGG